UGCUUGUCUCAAAGAUUAAGCCAUGCAUGUCUAAGUGCAAGCCGUCCUGUACGGUGAAACCGCGAAAGGCUCAUUAAAUCAGUUAUGGUUCCUUAGAUAGUACCCACGUUACUUGGAUAACUGUGGUAAUUCUAGAGCUAAUACAUGCCGACAGAGUUCCGACCAGCGUCGCGGUGGUUCGCGCCGCCGUGUUCGUUCGGAAGGAACGCUUUUAUUAGAUCAAAACCGGCCGGGCGGCCGUCGCGUGCUUUAUGCAUGUGACUGGUUGUAAGUGGCCCGCGCAAUGACUUGGUGACUCUGAAUAACUUUGAGCUGAUCGCACGGUCUCGUACCGGCGACGUAUCUUUCAAAUGUCUGCCUUAUCAACUGUCGAUGGUAAGUUCGACGCUUACCAUGGUGUUAACGGGUAACGGGGAAUCAGGGUUCGAUUCCGGAGAGGGAGCCUGAGAAACGGCUACCACAUCCAAGGAAGGCAGCAGGCGCGUAAAUUACCCACUCUUCGUUCGAGGAGGUAGUGACGAAAAAUAACGAUACGGGACUCAUAUGAGGCCUCGUAAUCGGAAUGAGUACACUUUAAACCUUGUCACACAGGAUCAAUUGAGGCAAG
rnacentral:rRNA from 1 species